GUGGGGAAUUUUGGACAAUGGGCGCAAGCCUGAUCCAGCAAUGCCGCGUGCAGGAUGAAGGCCUUCGGGUUGUAAACUGCUUUUGUACGGAACGAAAAGCCCUGGGUUAAUACCCUGGGCUAAUGACGGUACCGUAAGAAUAAGCACCGGCUAACUACGUGCCAGCAGCCGCGGUAAUACGUAGGGUGCAAGCGUUAAUCGGAAUUACUGGGCGUAAAGAGUGCGCAGGCGGUUUUGUAAGACAGGCGUGAAAUCCCCGGGCUCAACCUGGGAAUUGCGCUUGUGACUGCAAGGCUGGAGUGCGGCAGAGGGGGAUGGAAUUCCGCGUGUAGCAGUGAAAUGCGUAGAUAUGCGGAGGAACACCGAUGGCGAAGGCAAUCCCCUGGGCCUGCACUGACGCUCAUGCACGAAAGCGUGGGGAGCAAACAGGAUUAGAUACCCUGGUAGUCC
rnacentral:rRNA from 1 species